GGACGGGUGAGUAACGCGUAGGAAUCUACCGAGUAGUGGGGGACAACAGUUGGAAACGACUGCUAAUACCGCAUAAUCCCUGAGGGGGAAAGGAGGGGAUCUGUUUACAGACCUUUCGCUAUUUGAUGAGCCUGCGUGAGAUUAGCUAGUUGGUGAGGUAAUGGCUCACCAAGGCGACGAUCUCUAGCUGGUCUGAGAGGAUGAUCAGCCACACUGGAACUGAGACACGGUCCAGACUCCUACGGGAGGCAGCAGUGGGGAAUAUUGCACAAUGGGGGAAACCCUGAUGCAGCCAUGCCGCGUGUGUGAAGAAGGCCUUCGGGUUGUAAAGCACUUUCAGCGAGGAGGAAAGGAGUAUGUUUAAUAAACGUGCUCUGUGACGUUACUCGCAGAA
rnacentral:rRNA from 1 species